GAUGAAGAACGCAGCGAAAUGCGAUACGUAGUGUGAAUUGCAGAAUUCAGUGAAUCAUCGAAUCUUUGAACGCACAUUGCACCUCUCGGUAUUCCGGGAGGUAUGCCUGUUCGAGCGUCAUUUGUACCCUCAAGCUCUGCUUGGUGUUGGGUGUUUGUUCCGCCUCUGUGUGUGAACUCGCCUCAAAACAAUUGGCAGCCGGCGUACUUGUUUCGGAGCGCAGCACAUUUUGCGAUCCAGAUCAACGUACAGCGGCAUCCAAGAAGCCUUAUUUAACGCUCUGACCUCGGAUCAGGUAGGGAUACCCGCUGAACUUAAGCAUAUCAAUAAGCGGAGGA
rnacentral:misc_RNA from 1 species